CCUACGGGAGGCAGCAGUGGGGAAUUUUGGACAAUGGGCGCAAGCCUGAUCCAGCAAUGCCGCGUGAGUGAAGAAGGCCUUCGGGUUGUAAAGCUCUUUUGUCAGGGAAGAAACGGUGGUUCCUAAUACGGACUACUAAUGACGGUACCUGAAGAAUAAGCACCGGCUAACUACGUGCCAGCAGCCGCGGUAAUACGUAGGGUGCAAGCGUUAAUCGGAAUUACUGGGCGUAAAGCGUGCGCAGGCGGUUAUAUAAGUCAGAUGUGAAAUCCCCGGGCUCAACCUGGGAACUGCAUUUGAGACUGUAUGGCUAGAGUGUGUCAGAGGGGGGUAGAAUUCCACGUGUAGCAGUGAAAUGCGUAGAUAUGUGGAGGAAUACCGAUGGCGAAGGCAGCCCCCUGGGAUAACACUGACGCUCAUGCACGAAAGCGUGGGGAGCAAACAGGAUUAGAUACCCUGGUAGUCCACGCCCUAAACGAUGUCUACUAGUUGUUGGGUCUUAAUUGACUUAGUAACGCAGCUAACGCGUGAAGUAGACCGCCUGGGGAGUACGGUCGCAAGAUUAAAACUUAAAGGAAUUGAGG
rnacentral:rRNA from 1 species